rnacentral:rRNA from 1 species
GGAGGAAAGCAGGGGAUCGCAAGACCUUGCGCUUUUGGAGCGGCCGAUGUCUGAUUAGCUAGUUGGUGGGGUAAAGGCUUACCAAGGCAACGAUCAGUAGUUGGUCUGAGAGGACGACCAGCCACACUGGGACUGAGACACGGCCCAGACUCCUACGGGAGGCAGCAGUGGGGAAUUUUGGACAAUGGGCGAAAGCCUGAUCCAGCCAUGCCGCGUGAGUGAAGAAGGCCUUCGGGUUGUAAAGCUCUUUCAGUCGAGAAGAAAAAAUUGCGACUAAUAAUCGCAAUUCAUGACGGUAUCGACAGAAGAAGCACCGGCUAACUACGUGCCAGCAGCCGCGGUAAUACGUAGGGUGCAAGCGUUAAUCGGAAUUACUGGGCGUAAAGGGUGCGCAGGCGGCCUUGUAGGUCAGAUGUGAAAUCCCCGGGCUUAACCUGGGAAU